AAUAUUGGACAAUGUGGGCAACCCUGAUCCAGCCAUGCCGCGUGUGUGAAGAAGGUCUUCGGAUUGUAAAGCACUUUAAGUGGGGAGGAAGGGCUUUAGGUUAAUACCCUGAAGUUUUGACGUUACCAGCAGAAUAAGACCCGGCUAACUACGUGCCAGCAGCCGCGGUAAUAUAGAGGGUGCAAGCGUUAAUCGGAAUUACUGGGCGUAAAGCGCACGUAGGUGGUUCAGUAAGAUGGGUGUGAAAUCCCCGGGCUUAACCUGGGAACUGCUUUCAUAACUGCUGAGCUAGAGUACGGUAGAGGGUAGUGGAAUUUCCUGUGUAGCGGUGAAAUGCGUAGAUAUAGGAAGGAACACCAGUGGCGAAGGCGACUACCUGGACUGAUACUGACACUGAGGUGCGAAAGCGUGGGGAGCAAAC
rnacentral:rRNA from 1 species